AGAGCCUCUGUCAGCUAGAAGAACACUCAUGGCUGUGGCUGUGAUGGGAUUCUUCCCUGAGAAGACUUUGUUCCAGAAGCUCGUCCCGGAAGCUGGAUGGUGAUGUGGAGAGGCAAUGAGAUCAUUAAGAGACAGAGCCUUGUGGCAAACCUUCCAAGAUCCAACCUGCCUUCACCAGAAGUUCUGCAGACUGUGCUGCCACCCAGCCCAGAGACCAUUCCUAACAAACGCUCCUUUUGUCCUUAUUCAGAGAAGCUUCCCUUUCCAUUGAACAUCAGUGAAUGCUGAGACUUAUGGCUAUACAAGGUGCAAUGAGUGAACCGUGGUAUGUCUAUGUGUAUUCCCCAUGUGUACAGGUGCCAUGGAAGCCAGAGGAUGGCACUGAUCCCCAGAGGAUGAAACUGGAUCCCCACAAGUUGACACUGGAUCCCCACAAGAUGUCAUUGGAGCCCCACAAAAUGACAUUGGAUCCCCAGAAAAUGCACUGAGUUACCUGGAGCUGUAGUUAUAGGCAGUUGUAAGCCACCUACAUGGGUGCUGGGAACCAAACUUGGGUGCUCAUAACCAUCAACCCAUCUCUUCUGACCCUUAUUUUUUUUAAGUGUGUGUGUGUGUGUGUGUGUGUGUGUGUGUGUGUGUGUGCACCUGUGUGCACAGAAGUGUACAUGCUCAUGGAGCGAUUGACUCUUCCCGAGCUUUACCACUAGGCUAUCUCUCCAGGUCCUAAAGCUAUUAUUUAAAAUAAAAAUAAUUAUUUUA
ensembl:lincRNA Gm37336 predicted gene, 37336